CUUCCAUUCCAUUCCACUCCACUCGGGUUGAUUCCAUUCCAUUCCAUUCCAUUCCAUUCCAUUCCAUUGCGUUCCAUUCCAUUCCAUUGCAUUCCAUUCCAUUCCAUUCCACUCGUGUUGAUUCCCUUCCAUUCCAUUCCAUUCCAUUCCACUUGGGUUGAUUCCAUUCCGUUCCUUUCCAUUUCAUUCCAUACCAUUCCAUUCCAUUCCAUUCCAUUCCAUUCCAUUCCGUUCCAUUCCAUUUGUGUUGAUUCCUUUCCAUUCCAUUCCAUUCCAUCCCAUUCCACUCCGUUUCGCUCCAUUCCAUUCGGGUUGAUUCCGUUCCAUUCCAUGCCCUUUUAUUCCAUUCCAUUGCAUUCCAUUCCAUUCCAUUCCAUUCCAUUCCAUUCCAUUCCAUUCCAUUCCAUUCCACUCGGGUUGUUUCCAUUCCAUUCCUUUCCAUUUCAUUCUAUUCCAUUCCAUUCCAUUCCAUUCUAUUCCAUUCCAUUCCACUGCAUUCCAUUCCAUUCCUCUCCGGUUAUUCCAUUCCAUUCCAUUCCAUCCCACUCGAGUUGUUUCCAUUCCAUUCCAUUCCAUUUUAUUCCAUUCCAUUCCGUUCCAUUACAUUCCAUUCUAUACCAUUC
rnacentral:lncRNA from 1 species